UACGUAGGGGGCUAGCGUUGUCCGGAAUCAUUGGGCGUAAAGCGCGUGUAGGUGGUCCGGUAAGUCCGCUGUGAAAGUCGGGGGCUCAACCCUCGGAUGCCGGUGGAUACUGUCGGGCUUGAGUACGGAAGAGGCGAGUGGAAUUCCUGGUGUAGCGGUGAAAUGCGCAGAUAUCAGGAGGAACACCAAUUGCGAAGGCAGCUCGCUGGGACGUUACUGACGCUGAGACGCGAAAGCGUGGGGAGCAAACAGG
rnacentral:rRNA from 1 species